GACGAACGCUGGCGGCGUGCUUAACACAUGCAAGUCGAACGGAAAGGCCCUGCUUUUGUGGGGUGCUCGAGUGGCGAACGGGUGUGUAACACGUGAGUAACCUGCCCUUUACUUUGGGAUAACUUCAGGAAACUGGUGCUAAUACCGGAUAGGAGCUCCUGCUGCAUGGUGGGGGUUGGAAAGUUUCGGCGGUUGGGGAUGGACUCGCGGCUUAUCAGCUUGUUGGUGGGGUAGUGGCUUACCAAGGCUUUGACGGGUAGCCGGCCUGAGAGGGUGACCGGCCACAAUGGGACUGAGAUACGGCCCAGACGGCAACGGGAGGCAGAAGGGGGGAAUAUUGCACAAUGGGCGGAAGCCUGAUGCAGAAACGCCGCGAGCGGGAUGACGGCCAUGGGGUUGUAAACCGCAUUCGCCUGUGACGAAGCGGGAGUGACGGUAAUGGGAAAAGAAGCACCGGCUAACUACGUG
rnacentral:rRNA from 1 species